rnacentral:rRNA from 1 species
UUUGAUCAUGGCUCAGAUUGAACGCUGGCGGCAGGCCUAACACAUGCAAGUCGAGCGGAAACGAGUUAUCUGAACCUUCGGGGAACGAUAACGGCGUCGAGCGGCGGACGGGUGAGUAAUGCCUAGGAAAUUGCCCUGAUGUGGGGGAUAACCAUUGGAAACGAUGGCUAAUACCGCAUGAUGCCUACGGGCCAAAGAGGGGGACCUUCGGGCCUCUCGCGUCAGGAUAUGCCUAGGUGGGAUUAGCUAGUUGGUGAGGUAAGGGCUCACCAAGGCGACGAUCCCUAGCUGGUCUGAGAGGAUGAUCAGCCACACUGGAACUGAGACACGGUCCAGACUCCUACGGGAGGCAGCAGUGGGGAAUAUUGCACAAUGGGCGCAAGCCUGAUGCAGCCAUGCCGCGUGUGUGAAGAAGGCCUUCGGGUUGUAAAGC